CCUGUUUUUCGAAGCUUUGCAGGUGUGGCUGCCGUGUCACAUGUGUGUCAGUAGGUGGCAGAGAGGACCAAGGCGAUGUCCAUGUUCAGUGUUCUGAUCUAUGAACAUUUGAACAAUUAGUAGCCUAAUAUU